rnacentral:rRNA from 1 species
UACGCUGGCGGCACGCCUUAUACAUGCAAGUCGAACGAAGUAGCAAUACUUAGUGGCAGACGGGUGAGUAACAUGUAGGUAUCUUCCCUUUGGUGAGGAAUAACACGAGGAAACUUGUGCUAAUACCUCAUAAGUCUUUACAGAGAAAGCUUUAUGCGCCAAUGGAUGAGCCUGCACUUGAUUAGUUUGUUGGUGGGGUAAUGGCCUACCAAGACUUUGAUCAAUAGCUGAUCUGAGAGGAUGAUCAGCCACAUUGGAACUGAGACACGGUCCAAACUCCUACGGGAGGCAGCAGUAGGGAAUAUUGCACAAUGGAGGAAACUCUGAUGCAGCGAUGCCGCGUGAGUGAAGAAGGCCUUUGGGUUGUAAAGCUCUUUCGUCGGGGAAGAAAAUGACUGUACCCGAAUAAGAAGGUCCGG